GGCAGCUGUAAAGUUUCUGCUCCUUCAAAGUUCACAACACAAUGAAUUAAUUCCUAAAACACUCUCAAUGCUGGAGAGCGUUUGUGAUGCUGAAGCAUGACCAGUUUUUCUGUUUCUUCUCUGGAGAUGCACAAUGAGGGACGUCUGCAGAGACUGAGAAAGAGUCUCACCACAUCCUGACAUGAGGAAAAAGACUUGAUUGAAGACUACAAUGAGAAAAACUAUCAGACAGCAGACGGCUGCAUUCAAGUCUGUAGCUGCUGAAUUCAUGGAUGAAUCAUCUGGCACUAGAGAGGAAGACCAUCAAACAUCCACGUCAGCUGAUGGAGGUCCAAGAGUCUCACCCAACAAACAACCUACAGAGUGAAGACCUUGAAUCUGAUUGGACGGCCUCCUAUUCAGCCACAUGUGAACAAAUGCCUCUAAGUUGGUUUGUUUUCUAAAAUAACAUGACAUGUUCAGGCGUUCUUUGUGUGAAAACUCAGAGAUUUCAGGUAUCAGAAGGUGGUUUUCAACUUUCUUUGUUAACUUUCUGCUUCAACUUUAAACUAAAUUUCCUUCACUAAGCCAGCCCUCUGGACUUCCAGUAAGCUGUGUUCCUAUUGGCUGUCCAGGUGGCUGCUUGGUGUUAUCAGGAACACCUGAGCAGCUCAGUGUCUUCCUGCUUUAUUUAGCUGCAGACAAACAUUUCCUCUGCUUCUCUUCACCACUGAACCGGGUUUGGCUCCGUUGCUUUAGUUUG
ensembl:lncRNA